rnacentral:pre_miRNA from 1 species
AUACGAUUCACCUGGGGAUCUUGUUAAAAUGCAGAUUUCUGAUUCACUCAGAUUGGAGCUGGGGCCCGAGACUCUGCAUUCCUAACAAGUUCCCAGGUGACGCAGAU